AAGAUGGUCCCAUGCUUUGUGGGCCUCUCUUUGCUAUCUAUACAACGUUGGAAAUUCAGUGACACAUUCCAAAAAAAGGGAAUUAGGGAGGACCCAUGGCAUGGCUAAUGGGGAGAGAGCUUUACUACUUUUAGCGCUAUUGCUAAUUAUUGGAGCAAAGAAAGGCAUACAAGGAAUGGAACCCAACCUGUUUAAAGUAAUAAAUGUCAACCCUAAAGUGCAUGGAACCAUCUCUCCUUCCCUUUUGAGGACUGUGUGCUUCACAAGCUGGGCGUUUGCUGCAUGGGGUUUUCUAAUGUAAUGUGAAUUUUCAAUGUGCUUUGUCUCUGUAGAGUGGCUUUAAAAAGCCCUUGAAGUCCUCAGCUUUAAAUCCAUGCUAAUAGGGGAAGUCCAGCCUAAUGAUGCUUCCCAGAGUUGACUUUUCCUUCUUGCCAGCCUCGACUUCCCCAAGGCCUCACUCCUGCUUUCCGAGGUCACCUGUCUGAGGCUGCACACACACACACACACAGCCUUCCGGUU
rnacentral:lncRNA from 1 species